CAGUCGCCGCGGUAAUACAGAGGGUGCGAGCGUUAAUCGGAUUUACUGGGCGUAAAGCGUGCGUAGGCGGCUUCUUAAGUCGGAUGUGAAAUCCCUGAGCUUAACUUAGGAAUUGCAUUCGAUACUGGGAAGCUAGAGUAUGGGAGAGGAUGGUAGAAUUCCAGGUGUAGCGGUGAAAUGCGUAGAGAUCUGGAGGAAUACCGAUGGCGAAGGCAGCCAUCUGGCCUAAUACUGACGCUGAGGUACGAAAGCAUGGGGAGCAAACAGGAUUAGAUACCCCGUGUAGUCCCUGUCUCUUAUA
rnacentral:rRNA from 1 species